GGACCCGCACAAGUAGUGGAGCAUGUGGUUUAAUUCGAAGAUACGCGCAGAACCUUACCAACACUUGACAUGUUCGUCGCGACUUUAAGAGAUUAAAGUUUUCGGUUCGGCCGGACGAAACACAGGUGCUGCAUGGCUGUCGUCAGCUCGUGUCGUGAGAUGUUGGGUUAAGUCCCGCAACGAGCGCAACCCUCACUUUUAGUUGCCAUCAUUUAGUUGGGCACUCUGAAAGAACUGCCAGUGAUAAGCUGGAGGAAGGUGGGGAUGACGUCAAGUCCUCAUGGCCCUUACGUGUUGGGCUACACACGUGCUACAAUGGCAUUUACAAUAGGAAGCAAAACGGCGACGUUAAGCAAAUCCUUAAAAGAUACCUCAGUUCGGAUUGCACUCUGCAACUCGAGUGCAUGAAGCUGGAAUUACUAGUAAUCG
rnacentral:rRNA from 1 species